UCAGAUUUCUUCUUUUCUGUUGUAGCUGGAAUUGGUUGCUCUUGUUGUUGGAUUACUUCAGGUUGAUUUAAGAUUUUUCCACUUCUAAGGGUCAUGAUCGAUUUGGCAUGUUCGAAAAAAGUUUCAAGACCAAUGGAGCUUUCAGCCAUGUACUGUCCUUUUGGGUUAUUAAUAGGCUGACUGGGUAAUUUGCCUUCUUCCCUCCUACUGAAAGCUGUUGCUAGCUGACCUAUCUGGGUCUCUAGCUUUGCUAUUGAUUGCGUAUGGGAAUGAAGGAGUUGGGUAUUCAUUUCUAGUCCUUUAAGUGCUUGCAGUACCUUUUCUUCGAAAGUCGAGCUAUGAGUACUCGAAGUGGGUUGAGGAGGGUUCUGGUAUUGUGGC
rnacentral:lncRNA from 1 species